rnacentral:rRNA from 1 species
GACGAACGCUGGCGGCGCGCUUAACACAUGCAAGUCGAACGGAAAGGCCCUGCUUUUGUGGGGGGCUCGAGUGGCGAACGGGUGAGUAACACGUGAGUAACCUGCCCUUGACUUUGGGAUAACUUCAGGAAACUGGGGCUAAUACCGGAUAGGAGCUCCUGCUGCAUGGUGGGGGUUGGAAAGUUUCGGCGGUUGGGGAUGGACUCGCGGGUUAUCAGCUUGUUGGUGGGGUAGUGGCUUACCAAGGCUGUGACGGGUAGCCGGCCUGAGAGGGUGACCGGCCACACUGGGACUGAGAUACGGCCAAGACUCCUACGGGAGGCAGCAGUGGGGAAUAUUGCACAGUGGGCGGAAGCCUGAUGCAGCAACGCCGCGUGCGGGAUGACGGCCUUCGGGUUGUAAACCGCUUUCGCCUGUGACGAAGCGUGAGUGACGGUAAUGGGUAAAGAAGCACCGGCUAACUACGUG